rnacentral:rRNA from 1 species
AACGAACGCUGGCGGCAUGCCUAACACAUGCAAGUCGAACGAGACCUUCGGGUCUAGUGGCGCACGGGUGCGUAACGCGUGGGAACCUGCCCUUAGGUUCGGAAUAACUCCCCGAAAGGGGUGCUAAUACCGGAUAAUGUCUUCGGACCAAAGAUGUAUCGCCUUUGGAUGGGCCCGCGUUGGAUUAGCCAGUUGGUAGGGUAAAAGCCUACCAAGGCGACGAUGCAUAGCUGGUCUGAGAAGAUGACCAGCCACGCUGGGGAUGAGGCCCGGCCCAGACUCCUACGGGACGGAGCAGUGGGGAAUAUUGGACAAUGGGCGCAAGCCUGGUCCAGCCAUGCCGCGGGAGUGAUGAAGGCCUUAGGGUUGUGAAGCUCUUUUACCCGGGAUGAUAAUGACAGUACCGGGAGAAUAAGCUCCGGCUAACUCCGUG